UGCAAGUCGAACGGUAACAGCAGAGCUUGCUCUGGCUGACGAGUGGCGGACGGGUGCGUAACGCGUGGGAAUUUACCUUGUAGUGGGGGAUAGCCCGGAGAAAUCCGGAUUAAUACCGCAUAAUCUCUACGGAGCAAAGUGGGGGAUCUUCGGACCUCACGCUAUUAGAUGAGCCCGCGUUAGAUUAGCUUGUUGGUGAGGUAAUGGCUCACCAAGGCAACGAUCUAUAGCUGGUUUGAGAGGAUGAUCAGCCACACUGGGACUGAGACACGGCCCAGACUCCUACGGGAGGCAGCAGUGGGGAAUAUUGGACAAUGGGCGCAAGCCUGAUCCAGCAAUACCGCGUGUGUGAAGAAGGCCUGAGGGUUGUAAAGCACUUUCAAUAGGGACGAAAAGCUCAGAGUUAAUAACCCUGAGUCUUGACUUAACCUAUACAAGAAGCACCGGCUAACUCCGUG
rnacentral:rRNA from 1 species